AUUGAACGCUGGCGGCAUGCCUUACACAUGCAAGUAGAACGGUAACAGGUCUUCGGAUGCUGACGAGUGGCGAACGGGUGAGUAAUACAUCGGAACGUGCCUAGUAGUGGGGGAUAACUACUCGAAAGAGUGGCUAAUACCGCAUACGACCUACGGGUGAAAGCAGGGGAUCGCAAGACCUUGUGCUAUUAGAGCGGCCGAUGGCGGAUUAGGUAGUUGGUGGGAUAAAAGCUUACCAAGCCGACGAUCUGUAGCUGGUCUGAGAGGACGAUCAGCCACACGGGGACAGGGAAACGGCCCAGACUCCUACGGGAGGCAGCCGUGGGUAAUUUUGGACAAUGGGCGCAAGCCUGAUCCAGCAAUGCCGCGUGCAGGAUGAAGGCCUUCGGGUUGUAAACUGCUUUUGUACGGAACGAAAAGCCCCGGGUUAAUACCCUGGGGUCAUGACGGUACCGUAAGAAUAAGCACCGGCUAACUACGUGCCAGCCGCCGCCGUAA
rnacentral:rRNA from 1 species